rnacentral:rRNA from 1 species
CCACCCUUUAAUGUUUGAUGUUCUAACGUUGCCCCAUUAUCUGGGGUGCGGACAGUGUCUGGUGGGUAGUUUGACUGGGGCGGUCUCCUCCCAAAGAGUAACGGAGGAGCACGAAGGUUGGCUAAGCAUGGUCGGACAUCAUGCGGUUAGUGCAAAGGCAUAAGCCAGCUUGACUGCGAGAGUGACGGCUCGAGCAGGUACGAAAGUAGGUCUUAGUGAUCCGGUGGUUCUGAAUGGAAGGGCCAUCGCUCAACGGAUAAAAGGUACUCCGGGGAUAACAGGCUGAUACCGCCCAAGAGUUCAUAUCGACGGCGGUGUUUGGCACCUCGAUGUCGGCUCAUCACAUCCUGGGGCUGAAGUAGGUCCCAAGGGUACGGCUGUUCGCCGUUUAAAGUGGUACGCGAGCUGGGUUUAGAACGUCGUGAGACAGUUCGGUCCCUAUCUGCCGUGGGCGUUGGAAGAUUGAAAGGGGCUGCUCCUAGUACGAGAGGACCGGAGUGGACGCACCACUGGUGUUCGGGUUGUCAUGCCAAUGGCAUUGCCCGGUAGCUAAGUGCGGAAGAGAUAACCGCUGAAAGCAUCUAAGCGGGAAACUUGCCUUGAGAUGAGUCUUCCCUGACUCUUUAAGAGUCCUAAAGGAACGUUUAAGACUAAGACGUUGAUAGGUUGGGUGUGUAAGCGUAGCGAUACGUUGAGCUAACCAAUACUAAUGAACCGUGAGGCUUAACCUG